GCUUUUUCUGGGGAAGCUCCAUCUGAGGCUGCCUUUUGCGAAGUCACAAAAGCUAUCACAAUCAUCUGUCAGAUUCUCUUUGGAAAAUGUGGAAAUGGCUAGAAAGAGACCCAAAACUGGAAAUAUCUUCAGGGCUGAGAGACAAUGACUGGCCAAAGGAUCCAGCUGGCUUUGUGUCUAAGGUGGAACUCAAAAGCAUUCUUGGCUAUAACGAUGAUUUUACGGAAUAACAGAGUUGGAAGGGACGUUAUAGGUCAUCUAAUCCAACCUCCCGCCCAACCAGGAGACCCUAUACUAUUUCUGACAGAUAGCAGUCCAGUCUCUUCUUGAAAACUUCCAGUGAUGAAGCUCCCACAACUUCUGAAGGCUCCAUUGGUUGAUUGAUGAUGGUGAUGAUGUUAGAAGAAAGCUUUCCAUUUAAUUAUUUUAUUAAAAUAAUACUUUUUAAAAAUCCAUUCA